rnacentral:misc_RNA from 1 species
AAGUCGUAACAAGGUUUCCGUAGGUGAACCUGCGGAAGGAUCAUUAGUGAAUAAAUAGGGUGUCCAACUUAACUUGGAACCCGACCUUCUCACAUCUAACCCUGUGCAUCUGUUUAUUAGGCGAAAGCGGCUCUUCGGAGCUGUGGCAACCUAUCAACUUACAAAACACGAGUCUAUGAAUGUAUUUAAUUUUUAUAACAAAUAAAAACUUUCAACAACGGAUCUCUUGGCUCUC